CGGAGGAAAAGAAACCAACAGGGAUUGCCCUAGUAACGGCGAGUGAAGCGGCAACAGCUCAAAUUUGAAAUCUGAUCUCUUCGAGGUCCGAGUUGUAAUUUGUAGAGGGCGCUUUGGUGUUGGCUGCGGUCUAAGUUCCUUGGAACAGGACGUCAUAGAGGGUGAGAAUCCCGUCUGUGGUCGCAUGUCUUCACCGUGUAAAGCCCCUUCGACGAGUCGAGUUGUUUGGGAAUGCAGCUCUAAAUGGGAGGUAAAUUUCUUCUAAAGCUAAAUACUGGCCAGAGACCGAUAGCGCACAAGUAGAGUGAUCGAAAGAUGAAAAGCACUUUGGAAAGAGAGUCAAACAGCACGUGAAAUUGUUGAAAGGGAAGCGCUUGCAGCCAGACUUGCUUGCAGUUGCUCAUCCGGGCGCUCGCCCGGUGCACUCUUCUGUAGGCAGGCCAGCAUCAGUUUGGGCGGUUGGAUAAAGGCCUCUGUCAUGUAUCUUCUCCGGAAGACCUUAUAGGGGAGGCGUAAUGCAACCAGCCUGGACUGAGGUCCGCGC
rnacentral:rRNA from 1 species